GGAGAGCCGAGGGAAAGCAAGAGGAGGAGACCGUCCUGGAGCCAGGCUGCCACCCCAGGACCAGCAGCGAGGUCCCCGAGACAGAGGCCAACACCUCUGUCCAGGACACUAAGAUGUAGACACAAGCCCACUGUGGAAGCAGCAGCCACCAUGGUAGCAGCAAAUGAAGCCAUCAGCAGACUGCAUGGGGGCUGGAGUCAGCCUGGAGACUGGGCCACUGCCUUCCGGCCUCCACUCCGGCCCAGGCGGAGACUGGAUCUGAGGCAGCAGAUUUUAUCAGCUUGAGUUUGUGUCAUUUGAUGGAAUUGGUUGAAAAAACAAAACUUAUUUAAAGCAAUUUACUAUAGUGACUACUCCCCAGGGAUACUGGUCAACCUCUGGGGUCCAGACACUGUCCACAAUCAUCUGUCCCUGCAGCUGACCUCGGCACAGGACUCUGGUUGAGCUGAUCAGAUUGUGUAAAAUGAUAGCCUUUCUACUGAGCUGAAGUUUUUACCGUGCUCUGAUGUAAGUAAAAACCCAUUUCAGGCCAGAAACAAAAGAAAAUAGUACUGCUGAAAAUAUGAGUCCUAUGAGUGGCAAAAAGACCUUAAAUUGUACCAAAACCCACCCAAGACAGCCUUUCAGCAUGGUGCAAAUUUGAACUGGCCAACCAACUUUUAAAACAUUGGACUAGGAGUGAUAAUUACAUAAAAAUAUAAUGUCUCUGUCCCGGCAGCAGAAGCUCUUCUGGUGCCUUAGUUUCCUAGUUGGUGCUGGGCUCUACUCGCCCCUCCUGUCAGGGAGAAGCAGGAGGCGGGAGCAGGCCCUGUGGACUCCUGGAUGGGCCAGGAGUGGAGCAGUUCCUGGGCUCUGCUGCAGUUCCCGGUCCUGAAAGCAGACAGUGCGACCGAUGUCUGUCCUCUGAGUCAUCCUGGGAGGGUGACCUAUGCACUGCCAGACGGUGACCCUUGAGCAUGGAUUAGAAAUUUCCCUAGAGGUGCUUUGAGCGCUGUGAUGUGCUAACUACAAAAUAAAACCAUCCUCCCCGGCUUCCCUGGGAAGCUGCUCUUGAAGGGAAGCCCAGGCUCGCCUUCCCACCUCAGGAGGACUGGCUGGGGGUCCUCAGUCUGUUCUCAACCGGUAGCUCUUGCUUUUGUGCUCUGUUGGAGAGGACAGGAGGCUUUGCAGGGAACAGGGCCCGGCUACCAUUCCCUCGCUCAGAGCCUCUCCCGUCCUCACGCACUCCUGCUGAAAGAUGGUAAUCCAAAUAAGUGUUUCAUUUUUCGGGUUGGGCCCUAAGAGUUCAGUGGUGGAGAGUCGAGCCCGCUGUUUUUCUGGAGGUCCGUGAGACCACACUCUGCUGCAACUUCAGAAAAAUCAUCUCCCAGACGAAGAGGCCUUACCUCGCCGCUGGUACCUCAACUUCCUCAGCCCACUUAUAGUUUUCCUAACCAGGAGAGUGUUAAUAUUUGGUAUAUAUAUUUUUUCAAAACUUUUUAAAUAUAAGCAUCCUCUAAAACUUGUAACCUAGUGGAGACUGAUGCUCCAAUAAGCUUUGUAUUGUAGCAGAGUUUGGGAGACAUGGAAUGUCAUUAUUUUGAGGGCUGCAUAACAUCUGUCUGCCUGUCAUCUGUCUCUCCAGCUAUUGACAGAGAUGUAUAUCCCCUACACAGUACAUGGUUUAUUUACAUACGUCUCUGGGUCGUUUAUACACUCACACACAGAGCCGGGCAAGGGUUCUGUGAAUGUGUGUGACCAAAAGGGGAACCUGCCACUUCCCUAACUUGAGAAAGGAAUGGAACAGAAAGUGUGGCAUGUGGGUGGGUGUGAAAACAAAACUCUAUUUUUCUUCUGGAGGGUCUGUACCUUACAGUCGCAGAUGAGAAAGGAGCAAUAAAAAUUGACAAGAAUGUGACGUUGAA